AAUACAGAGGGUGCAAGCGUUAAUCGGAAUUACUGGGCGUAAAGCGUGCGUAGUCGGUUAUUUAAGUCGGGCGUGAAAGCCCCGGGCUCAACCUGGGAAUUGCGUUCGAUACUGGAUAGCUAGAGUUCGGCAGAGGGAAGCGGAAUUUCGGGUGUAGCGGUGAAAUGCGUAGAUAUCCGAAGGAACAUCAGUGGCGAAAGCGGCUUCCUGGACCAGAACUGACGAUCAGGCACGAAAGCGUGGGGGGGCAAACAGGA
rnacentral:rRNA from 1 species